GACGAACGCUGGCGGCGUGCUUAACACAUGCAAGUCGAGCGGAAAGGCCCUUUCGGGGGUACUCGAGCGGCGAACGGGUGAGUAACACGUGAGUAAUCUGCCCUGGACUCUGGGAUAGCCACCGGAAACGGUGAUUAAUACCGGAUAUGACACCUUGCUGCAUGGUGGGGUGUGGAAAGUUUUUUCGGUCCAGGAUGUGCUCGCGGCCUAUCAGCUUGUUGGUGAGGUAAUGGCUCACCAAGGCUUUGACGGGUAGCCGGCCUGAGAGGGUGACCGGUCACACUGGGACUGAGACACGGCCCAGACUCCUACGGGAGGCAGCAGUGGGGAAUAUUGGACAAUGGGCGGAAGCCUGAUCCAGCAACGCCGCGUGAGGGAUGACGGCCUUCGGGUUGUAAACCUCUUUCAGUACCGACGAAGCGUGAGUGACGGUAGGUACAGAAGAAGGACCGGCCAACUACGUGCCAGCCGCCGCAGUAAGAC
rnacentral:rRNA from 1 species